AGCGAACGCUGGCGGCAGGCCUAACACAUGCAAGUCGAACGAAGUCUUCGGACUUAGUGGCGGACGGGUGAGUAACACGUGGGAACGUGCCUUUAGGUUCGGAAUAACUCAGGGAAACUUGAGCUAAUACCGAAUGUGCCCUUCGGGGGAAAGAUUUAUCCCCUUUAGAGCGGCCCGCGUCUGAUUAGCUAGUUGGUGAGGUAAAGGCUCACCAAGGCUACGAUCAGUAGCUGGUCUGAGAGGAUGACCAGUCACAUUGGGACUGAGACACGGCCCAGACUCCUACGGGAGGCAGAAGUGGUGAAUCUUGCGCAACGGGCGAAAGCCUGCCGAAACCAUUCCGCGUGGGUGGUGAAGGUCUUAGGAGUGUAAAAUCCUUCCACCGGUCGAGAUAAUGACGGUAGCCGGAGAAGAAGCCCCGGCUAACUGCGUGCCAGCAGCCGCGGUAAGAC
rnacentral:rRNA from 1 species